rnacentral:sRNA from 1 species
GGGAGUGGUUUGAUGUGAAGGUUUUUUUUUCCUUCAGGCAUUGAAAAGAAAAAAGAUGAAAUAUAUGUUUAUAUAUAACUCUCUACAUACCUCACUGAAGUCAAAAUGCAUUUAAUUGUGUACGUAUCUUUUAAAUGAGGAACGGUACUGGAUUUUUUUCUUCUUUCUUAAAAAAAGUGACAGAAAUCCUAGUGACUUUGGGGGGGAGAGAUAUGAAUAGAUACGAUGAUUGAGUUUUUUUUCAAAGGAGUCCAUGUUUGAUUCUCUCCUUCACCCAGCAUUCUCAGUGGUUUGUAAUUGUCAGUUUUAUCUCUACUUUUUCCCUUCCUCUCCUGCAGUUGCUUGCUUGUAAAAUCAUCUGACUUGAGAAAUUAAUUUGGUGGUGAAUAGGACAGAUUUUUAGAAGAAAGAGGAGAGGGUCAGAUCUGAAGAUUGUGAAAUUCUUUUCUCCUGUUGCAGCGAACACCUCUUCCUCCAUGACCUUCGACACUGAUAAAAGUGGAAGAAACUGAGGCACGGGGAGAGAAAGGCAGCUGAGAAGAGAGGAAUGAGAAAUGCUCACCCUCCCCUAGUCAACCCCGUGAUGUUACCUGGAUGACAGCACACACUCCUUGGUCUCUUCACUGAAACCUAUGUCACGGAAAGACAUGGCCACACCUGGGGGAGUGACCUGCCGUGAGGAUGUAGGUGGACGUCAUGAAUGACAUACAAGCUGUACUUACCGGCAUGUGGAGCAGAUAUUCCUGGAUGCUACCUAUUACCAAGUCUCAGGAUAUAGCAGGAGCUUCUUCUGAUCCAGGCCAUGUUCAGGGUAUGUUUGUAGUCCUUGCUGUCACUGUUGUCCCUCCCUUGUGGUUAAAGAAAUGUCAUCUAAAGAAAGUAUUCUGUAUGGAGUUACUAAUCAAGAAUGCUCUCCCCUUCUAAGAAGUAGCUGGACGUUUUCUGACAGCCCGUGCUUUCUUUCCCUGUGUAGUUGCCGCCUGGCUCCUGUUACACACGCCAGCCAGGUGCUGUCUGCAAGAUCCACAGAUACUUAAGUCAUCUUCUUAAUGCUGGACCCCACCCAACCUUUCACACAUUCACCGCUCCUGCCUCAAGCGUGCGCCCACAUCCCUGGCACCAGCCUCCUCACCUCUAGUUCUCCGUGAGCCUCCCUUUCUUCCUCCCCUCCCUUGGGCACUGCUCCUGCCAGGCUCUCUGCUCACAGCUCAUUACCCACCAGGUGACCUCAUCCUUAGCUUUGCCCCAGUUACUGCGGGCCAGGAAUUCCUGGCUGAAGGGACCCAGAGCAUCAGUCCCAAAUAGUCUCACGUCACAAAGUUACCACAAACAGCUAACUUCCUCUUUCAGCCUCCCCCAACCCCCACCCCUUAACGUUAGAGUCACCGUCUAUCCGUCCAGCCACUCAUCCCAGACAGAUUCUUGGGUGUUAUUCUUGGCUCCUCCCUGUACCUCUGACAUCUGCCAGGGAAAUUACUCUAACUUUCCUCCUCCUCCCCUGGUCUCCACUGUCCUAGCCUAGCUGCCUUCAGGUUUCUCCUGGAUGGCUGCAGUUGUCUCAGCCUCCUAGUCGCCCCACUUCCCCUACUCUAUUCUAGUCUCUCUUGAAGUUGUAGACAAGACAUCUUUGAAAUGCUUAUCUGCACAUGUAUGGUGGUGCAUACCUUUAAUCCCAGCACUAGGGAGGGAAUCAGUUUGAGGCCUACAUACAGAGUUCUAGGCCAGCCUGGUCUACAUACAGAGUUCUAGGCCAGCCUGGUCUACAUACAGAGUUCCAGGCCAGCCAGGGCUAUAUAGUGAGAGUUUCCCAAAGUAAACAAACGAAAAGCUCCCUCACAAAAUAAAUGUGGGGCCUGCAGAUGACUUAGCAGGUAAAGAUGCAUACUGUAUAAGCUGGACAUCUGCGUUUGAUUCCUGGGAUUCACCAGGUAAAGGGACACAGGUAAAACCCACAGUGGAAGGGAAGAACAGACUUGUGUAAGUUGUCGUAUGACCUGCACAUGUGUGCACAUACAUACACACACACAAAUAUAAAAAAAAUUAAGUAUAAGAAAUAAUUUUAGGUGGUU